rnacentral:lncRNA from 1 species
GAAAUAGAAUGGAAAAUUAAACAAAUGAGACAAAAAACAUUUGAAUCAGCUAACAAAUGUGGGAAAUUGCUGGCCUGGCAAAUGAAAAAAUGACAAAAAUUAAAUACUAUUACAAAUUUAGAAGUGGAAGGAAAGAAUAUACAUAACCCAACUGAGAUUAGAAAUUGUUUCCAGAGGUACUUUAAACAACUAUAUACACAAGGGCCACAGAAGGAAAUGGCUAUAGACCGAUUUCUGAAGACAAAUGGAUUACAGAAAAUAUCCCAAGAAAGUAAGUUAAUCCUGAAUUAUAAAAUAUCUGAACAGGAAGUAGAAGGUGCCAUUCAAAAUAUGCAAUUAGGCAAAUCUCCAGGACCGGAUGGGCUGACUUCUAGAUAUUAGAGAUCUUUGAAAGAGUGGCUAUUACAACCUUUGAAGGAAGUCUGCAAUGAAAUAUUGGAAGGGAAAAGGGCACCAGAGUCUUGGAAAGAGGCACACAUUACACUUAUACCGAAGACAGAGACUGAAAAGACUCCGCUUAAGAACUAUCGCCCCAUAUCGUUACUUAAUGUGGAUUACAAAAUUUUUGCAGACAUUUUGGCCAAGAGAUUGAAAAAAGUAUUGAUGGAAGAGAUUCAUAAAGACCAAGCGGGCUUUCUCCCGGGAAGACACUUGUCCGAUAAUUUGAGGAAUAUAAUUGAUAUUUUGGAAAACUAGAAGUGAACAUAAAUACUAAAGCAGUUUUGAUAUUUGUGGACGCGGAGAAAGCUUUUGACAAUAUCACUUGGAGUUUUAUGAAGAAGAACCUACAGGGGAUGGGGGUAGGCCAAGGUUUUGAAAACGGUAUAAGUGCAAUUUAUUCAGAACAAAAGGCUAAACUAAUUGUAAAUAAUGUGGUGACGGAAGAAUUUAGGAUAGAAAAAGGGACAAGACAAGGUUGCCCAAUUUCCCCACUGCUUUUUAUAUCGGUCCUGGAGGUUCUGCUGAAUAUGAUUAGAAGGGACCGGUUGGUUAAAGGUAUACAGGUCGGAGCCAAACAGUACAAAUUGAGAGCAUUUGCAGAUGACUUAGUAUUGACGUUACAGGAGCCAGAAUCUAGUACUAAAAGAGUUUUAGAACUGAUUCAAGAAUUUGGUCAAGUUGCAGGAUUUAAGUUGAAUAAGUUAAAGACCAAGGUUUUAGAGAAAAACUUAACACCAAUGGAGAGAGAGAGGUUUCAGAAUGAGACAGGUUUAACAGUGGUUAAGAAAGUUAAAUACUUGGGGAUUAACAUGACAGCAAAAAAAUGGGAAUUUAUUUAAAGACAACUAUGAAAAAUGCUGGGCUGAAGUGAAAAAGAUUUAGAAAUUUGGUCAAAUUUGAAGCUUUCACUGCUGGGCCGUAUUGCUGCGGUAAAAAUGAAUGUAUUGCCUAGAAUGUUGUUUUUGUUUCAAACACUGCAAAUUGUGGACAAAAUGGACUGUUUCAAGAGGUGGCAGAGAGAUAUUUCUAAAUUUGUCUGGCAGGGCAAGAAGCCUAGAAUAAAAUUUAAAAUAUUAACAGAUGCAAUGGAACGAGGUGGAUUUGCCCUGCCAGACUUUAAACUUUACUAUGAAUCAGCAGCUUUUUGCUGGUUGAAAGAAUGGUUGCUUCUUGAAAACACUGACAUUUUGGAUUUAGAAGGUUUUAACAAUGUAUUUGGAUGGCAUGCAUAUCUGUGGUAUGAUAAGGUCAAAGCACAUAAAGCAUUUAAAAAUCACAUUGUCAGGAAAGCAUUGUUUAAUGUCUGGAUAAGAUACAAGGACUUAUUGGAAAAUAAAACUCCAAGGUGGUUGUCACCGAUGGAAGCAAAAGCUCUGAAAAAGCUCAAUAUGGAGGCCAAAUGGCCGAAAUAUUGGGAAAUUUUGGAACAAGACGGAGAUAGACUGAAAUUGCAGAGUUUUGAGAAAUUAAAAAACAAAGUGCGAGAUUGGCUUCAUUAUUACCAGAUAGUGGAGGCAUAUAAGUUGGAUAAGAAAAUUGGUUUCCAGGUGGAAAAAUCAAAAUUAGAAACAGAACUAUUAGAACCCAAAACUAAGAUUUUGUCAAAGAUGUAUAACUUGCUGUUGAAAUGGAAUACUCAGGAUGAAACGGUGAAAUCUGCUAUGAUUAAACUUUUUUCAUGUAUGCCACAACAGCAGCAAGAAUACUCAUUGCAAAGUAUUGGAAGACACAAGAUCUACCCACUCUGGAAGAAUGGCAGAUGAAGUUGAUGGACUAUAUGGAACUGGCAGAAAUGACUGGCAGGAUCCGAGACCAGGGAGAAGAGUCGGUGGAAGAAGAUUGGAA